UGCUGCCUUAGCAGCAAAAUCGGCCAUUGUGUCACCAGAAAUGCAAACGUGGCUGGGUAACCAACAGAGAACGAUGUCGUAUUCGCCAUUAGCAAAAUCGUUAUAUAAUUCAAUAAUUUCAAUGAAAAGUAGAUGUUUACAAGAUAAGUUUAUAAUAGCCUGAAGGUACAAAAGCGAGUCCAAAAAGAUUAUAUACUGUCUAUAUUUAGGGUGUUUUUUUAAUAUAUUUAAGCGAUGUUAAUUUGCCUCGGCUGGAAAAAUAGAGCUAUCGUUUGAUAAUCUAGAAGAUAUUAUUCUGGAUCCAAUGACAGUUUAAAAGAUAUCAAAUGGUGACGGUUUAAGAGUUGAUGAGCAUUUAAAAACAGCAUACAGCAAAUUUUACACGUUAUGAAAAUGAGAACGGUUUACUUAGUGUGUUGUCCAUUAUAUUUUCAUUCCUCACUAUUCGAUAGAAUUCCAUUAAUAUAAAAAAAGAACUUGGUAUUAUACAAAUUAACAAAUGAAUGGAAAUUAUAAAAAAAAAACGUCGUUGUGGAAUAGGCCUCGUGUCAGAUUUCACUCGUGGUAAGUCCGUGUGUGAUAAGUCGUCUGUGCUGUGUGGUGAGUGGGUUUUCGAAUCCCAAAGGGGACUCAAUCAACCCCAAAAGUACUGUAAUUUGCAUUCUUUCAUAAAGUGUAGUCCCAUACAUAACAUAUGUUAUAUUUAAGUGCAGUUGAAAUUUAUCACAAAAACAGAUCGAAAAACACAUUUCUGUAUUAUUUACAUGAUGACUAUAUUUGAAAACGUUAAAUGAUACUCCACGUUGAUUGGUGGUUUUCUGAAGAUUGUGACAAACAGUGCCUAUGCCUUAACAAUACUGACAUAUGUGACAAGAUCACUGUUCUAGUGGUUGUUUCCCUGGGUAUUAUGGAACCGACUGCCAAAUAGGUAUGGUAUGGAAAUAGUUAGCAUUUACGUGAAAUUUGACAAAGGAUCGCACAUGCGUUUUAGGCUUGCACGAGUUUGUGAGUUAAGCAAUUUAUGUUUGUAAAAUAUGCCACUAAGCUGAAUAUUGUUUUCGUGCCUUGUGUUCGCAGCAUGCCCAGAUGGUUCCCAUGGUAUCAACUGUGCCUCACAAUGUCGAAACUGCCUCAGUGAUGUCAGCUGUAACAGGACAAAUGGAGUCUGUCCUGGAGGAUGUGCAGCAGGGUGGAUGGAUGACGACAAAAAGCCAUGUAUGCAGCUGAUCCUCACAGAGGAAAGAUUCAACUAGGGAGUACCUUAUUUGUUGCUGUGGCCACAGUGAUUGGCGCAAUCAUUUACAUCAAACGAGGACAUCCGCAGAGAUGGAAGCUCGUGUUGAUGGCGCCAUUCAGAGAAAUAUAGUACAAUUGCGUGCCCGGCUGUGUCGACAGUAUCAGAAACGCCACCAUCGACAACAACUGCUUCAGCCUUGACCAGUACCAAUGAGAGUGAUUACGGCACUGCUUCGAGAAAUGAACGCGAUUUUAAACUGUUUCUGAGGGACGGCGUUGUUCCGUCGCUAACAUUCUGUGUUUGAGGAUAAACUUUGUCAUGCAUGAUUUAAUCUCAUAUUAUAUGAUGCAGGAGAUAGUUCAGAAUAUGAGACACAUUU
rnacentral:lncRNA from 1 species